rnacentral:rRNA from 1 species
UGGGGAAUAUUGGACAAUGGGCGAAAGCCUGAUCCAGCCAUGCCGCGUGUGUGAAGAAGGUCUUCGGAUUGUAAAGCACUUUAAGUUGGGAGGAAGGGCAGUAAGCGAAUACCUUGCUGUUUUGACGUUACCGACAGAAUAAGCACCGGCUAACUCUGUGCCAGCAGCCGCGGUAAUACAGAGGGUGCAAGCGUUAAUCGGAAUUACUGGGCGUAAAGCGCGCGUAGGUGGUUCGUUAAGUUGAAUGUGAAAGCCCCGGGCUCAACCAGGGAACUGCAUCCAAAACUGGCGGGCUAGAGUAGGGCAGAGGGUGGUGGAAGUUCCUGUGUAGCGGUGAAAUGCGUAGAUAUAGGCAGGAACACCAGUGGGGAGGGCGACCACCUGGGCUCAUACUGACACUGAGGUGCGAAAGCGUGGGGAGCAAACAGG